UCCGUAGGGUGCAAGCGUUAAUCGGAAUUACUGGGCGUAAAGCGUGCGCAGGCGGUUUUGUAAGUCUGUCGUGAAAGCCCCGGGCUUAACCUGGGAAUUGCGAUGGAGACUGCAAGGCUUGAAUCUGGCAGAGGGGGGUAGAAUUCCACGUGUAGCAGUGAAAUGCGUAGAGAUGUGGAGGAACACCGAUGGCGAAGGCAGCCCCCUGGGUCAAGAUUGACGCUCAUGCACGAAAGCGUGGGGAGCAAACAGG
rnacentral:rRNA from 1 species